rnacentral:rRNA from 1 species
UACGGAGGGAGCUAGCGUUGUUCGUAAUUACUGGGCGUAAAGCGCACGUAGGCGGCUUUGUAAGUUAGAGGUGAAAGCCCGGAGCUCAACUCCGGAACUGCCUUUAAGACUGCAUCGCUUGAAUCCAGGAGAGGUGAGUGGAAUUCCGAGUGUAGAGGUGAAAUUCGUAGAUAUUCGGAAGAACACCAGUGGCGAAGGCGGCUCACUGGACUGGUAUUGACGCUGAGGUGCGAAAGCGUGGGGAGCAAACAGG